AAAGACGUCCUUUGGACGUUCAAUUAGCGUCCGUCCGUCCCAUUUAAAUUCUAAACGUCUUUUGAACGUCUUUUUCACGUCCAAUAAAUUUUUCGUCCAAAAAAGAUCCAGAAUGCUUUAUUAAAUCAAAAUUAAUUUAGUUAAAUCACGCAAUCUUCAAGACAUUUAUUUAUUUUUGUUAAUUAAAAACGCAUUUUUAAUACAAAUGUAGAAGAAACUUUCAAGCGUAAAAGAACUUUCAAAUGUAAACUUACAUUUUUUUGUGGCAUUUUGAAAUAAUGAAUGAAGAGUGACUAAUAGACAGAUCCUUCGAAUUGGAUAGUCUGUGAUUCAAAAUUAUGAUAAAGUCAAUGAUAAAUCUUUAAGUUUAAUGUUUAAGACUGUUUACCUGAUUCCUACGGCAAAAAAGAACUUUAAAAUGCUGUUGCCAAUAAUCUAAAGCCCACACCUGAUCUAAAAGAAGGUGAAUGACGUCAAGUGUUCAAACAGUCGAUUUUUGAAAAUUAACAAGUGGAGGAAGAAGUUUAAAAAAACUUAUAAUUAAUAAAACAUGGCAAACAUAUAUUAUUAAAAAUUUACGCAAAUUUUUAUUUUUUACUUAUUCUCAAAAAGUUAAGUGAAAACAUAAGUUUUAAUCUUACGUUUGAGUAAAGCCAUGUAAAGACAAAGAUUAUAGACGUCGAACUGAUGACGGCUAAAUUAGGUUAUUUAAAAACAUAAUUUGGCGUGUCCAUUUAGCACUUGUUCUGAACGUCCUAAAUUCACAUCUUUUAGACGUCUGAAAAACACGUCUUUAUUCCGUCCUAAAAAGACGUCCUA